AAGUCGUAACAAGGUUUCCGUAGGUGAACCUGCGGAAGGAUCAUUAACACGUAUCCAAACGUUAAACCCCCCUGUGAACCUUCAGUGUACUCGUACGUCCGUUAGAAAAAGCAGCAAUCCCUGGUAAAUCAUCGCCGAACAGUUUUCGAUUCAGGGACGUCUGCAAGGAGCGUGCAUGUUGUGCGAAGCAAGUGGCCUGGCAUCCCCAAGCAGUUAGUGUCUGAAAGCGUCAUUCCGUUGGAGGCCCACACGGCCGACGACCGGGUCACUGGGCGCAAGCCCCCCUAUAACAAACGCUGCUAAUCGCGGCCGCGAUAAUACGCAGUCGACCAAAAACCGAACAACUGUUAACAAUGGAUAUCUUGGUUCUC
rnacentral:misc_RNA from 1 species